UAAUAAGAAACAAGUUGCAACAGUACCAAGUCAAAGGACAUGUCUUAGGAAGUGUAAAGUGACGGUAUGGUUUCUACAAACUGGACAAUGGGAUUCGCACGAAUGAUUCAUGACCACAAGAUAGCACAAUAGGCUUAUACAAACGCAACAAUCAAAGGAUUUGUGGAUCACUUGUUGUUUGUUUACAAGAAGCUGCUCAUCCUUCAAUGUGUUAUCAUUCUUAUAAAUAACUGCAUCCUUUCCAUCAUGUUUAUUGAGAAAUGAUUUAUAUGAAGCAGAUAAAUUGUCUUGGUGUAAUAUAAGCAGACAAAAUUUGGGAAGAAGAGAGGCACAUAAGGAAAAUGUCUUUGUGCUUCCACGUGAGAGGUUUACAGACUUUCUCAAACCAUUUUCUCUUAAUCCCACAAUGAGAUGCUAAGACAACAUGUACAAGAACGUAAAUAGCCAAGCUAGUGAUGUGCUUCUAACCCUGUCAGAAGUAUAGACUUCCCGAUAACUUCCCUUGUUACCCCAAGAAAUAAACCAUAUCUUAACGUUUCCUUCAGAGUCGAAACAAUCACCCCGCCUUCCGUCACCACAAUCUCCUUCCUUGGCGGUUUUUUCGUUUGUCUCUCUCCUUCGCACAUGAUCAACUCAUGGUAUCCUUACAUCAACAACAAUAACUCUCUUGGAUUUAUGAUUUACGGUUCGACAUAAUUACGAGUUGUAUCGUGGUUUGAGGCUUUGUAACUUGCAUACCAAAUGUUUGGUGAAUUGCUUCAACCAAGUUCUUUUCUCUUUUUUCCUUGUUUUGGUUCCGUUACGGAUUCUCUUUUCUCACUAUUUUUGGAUUAUGAAUCGGUUGUCAAGUUUGAGAAUGGUUUCUUGAAUGGCUUUCAAGUUGAUUUUGGUUUGGGAAAUUGGUUUAGUAAUGAAUUCUUUUUCUUUUUUUUUUAUUUGCAGUUUCUUGCAAUUUAUGGUGAAUUUGAUGAAGGUUGAAAUUGGUGAUGAAAGAGGUCAAAUUUUGGUGCUGAAUUUUCUAUGAUUUGUGCUCAUGGCAAGAUUUAGAUUUUCACGAUAAUCGUCUAUUUAAGAUGAAAAGUAAGACAAAUACAUAAUCAAGCAUGCAAAGAUAACUCAAACAAGCAAGUAAUCAUAGAAGGCAUAAGCAAGCAAGCGUUCAUGGAGUGGUAAAUGGAGUUUGAGGCUUACCGAUCGGAGACCCUCCGAUGGUUCUUCAAUGACGAUGCAAAUUCAAUAUGGUAAGCGAUUAUUCAAUUCCUCUUCAUUUCUUCUCCAUCCCCUUUCUUUUUUUCUUCCAUUGAUUUUCUUGUUGUUUUUGAUUCUUUUGCCGCUUUUCCAUGCUUGAAUCAUGGAAAACUAUGAUGUGAAAUGUGAUGAAGGUUUAUGCUCAAGUUGGUUGAAGCUUCAAUGAGAAGCUUCAACAACCAUGGAUUUGAGCUCUAGUGAGGGAAGGUUGAAGAAUGGAGAAUGGAAAGUGAAAAUUUGAGAGAAAGUGAAGAAUGGGUGGAAUCAAAAAGUGAAGAAGAAGCCUUAGUGAGUGAAAGAUGAAUGCUUAUAUAGAACUAGGUGAGGGAUGAUUAGAGGUUGAAAAUUUGUUAGAAAUUAGUUGGGGCUGUUGUGGGCACUUUAUGCAAUUGCCUAAAGUAGUUAGAAGUUAGUUUGUGGAAGUUUAAGGUAGUUAGGGUGAUUAAAACAUGGAUGUAUGUGAAUUCACAUGCAUGUGCAUAUGCUGAAUUUUUAGUGAAUAUGAAGGAAAUUGGAUGAAUUUACAUGGCACCACUCGAAUACAUGUUUGGCCAUUUACAUGGUAUGAAUGAAUGAAUUAUAAAUGCAUUUGGGUUGAUGUUCAUGGAUGAAAUGAUGUAUUACAUGAAUGCUGAAUUUUUUUAAUGCACAUGAUUUAAUGGUUUUGUUUGUUGUAUAGAAGUGGAAUUAUAGUUAUACAUAGUAUGAAAUUUAUUCAUGGUAUAUGCAUAACAUGCAGAAUUUUUAUUGAGUUCGACUUGUUUUAAUGGUUUUGCAUAUGAUGUGAAUGUAUGAGCAUGUGUUGAAUUUUAAAGAUGAAUGACAUGAAUUUAAAAUGACUUUUCAUGUGUAUUUUGUAAAUGCUCAUGAUGCUAAAUUUUGUUAUGUAAGUGCUGAAUUUUUCUAACUUGUUUUUAUUGUUUUCUUUGUAGCAUGGUACAUGGUAAUGAAGCAUGAACAAGCAUGGUCAAGAAUGGAGUAUGAAUGAAGACCAUUGAAUAACUUGGAAUUAUUUUUAUUCUUUUGUGUACGGAAAUUACGUAGUAUGUUUGUAAUGGCAUAAAGUGAUGUAAAGUGAAGUCAUGUAAAUGUAAAAAUAAUAUUUAGUGACUUUUGAACCUUAUGUACAUGGAUUGAAAGACCAUGAAUAAAAAAGGGAAUUAUAGCUCAAACUGUAUGUAUGGAAAUGAAUUCCAAUGAAUGCUUAGGGAAUUUACCCAUGAAGUGAAAA
rnacentral:lncRNA from 1 species